rnacentral:rRNA from 1 species
UACGUAGGGGGCUAGCGUUGUCCGGAUUUAUUGGGCGUAAAGAGCGUGUAGGCGGCUUGGCAAGUCUGCUGUGAAAACUCGAGGCUCAACCUCGAGCUGUCGGUGGAAACUGCUUGGCUAGAGUCCGGAAGAGGAGAGUAGAAUUCCUGGUGUAGCGGUGAAAUGCGCAGAUAUCAGGAAGAACACCUAUGGCGAAGGCAGCUCUCUGGGACGGUACUGACGCUGAGACGCGAAAGCGUGGGGAGCGAACAGG